AUGUGAUCGUCUCUCGCAUAUCAAUAAGCGGAGGAAAAGAAACUAACAAGGAUUCCCCUAGUAACGGCGAGUGAAGCGGGAAGAGCUCAAAUUUGAAAUCUUAAAGGGUUUCCCUUUACGAAUUGUAGUUUAAAGAAGUGUUUUCUGUUGAGGUUUUGGUAAAAGUUCUUUGGAAUGGGACAUCAUAGAGGGUGAGAAUCCCGUAUUUGACCUUUACUUUCAACUUUGUGAUACACCUUCAAAGAGUCGGAUUGUUUGGGAAUGCAGUCCAAAAUGGGUGGUAAAUUUCAUCUAAAGCUAAAUAUUGGCGAGAGACCGAUAGCGAACAAGUACCGUGAGGGAAAGAUGAAAAGAACUUUGAAAAGAGAGUUAAACAGUACGUGAAAUUGUCAGAAGGGAAGCGUUUGACACCAGUGUUGUUUUUCUGAAAAUCAAUUAAAGAACUGUUUAUGCUAAGCUGUUUAGACUUUAUCAGCUAUACUGUUUAGUUUUGAGCUUUUCUUUAAUGCACUUUUCAGUUAACAAGUCAACAUCAAUUUCUUUUGCUGUAAAAAAGCUUGAGGAAGGUGGCUUGAGAUUCGUCUUAAGUGUUUAUAGCCUCUUGCCUAUGCAGUCGGAGAGAUUGAGGUCUGCAGCGUAGAUCCUUCGGGGCUAAAUGCAUUUGUGCUAAGUUAUAGCAUUUUAUAGACAACUUGUUGACUAUGAUUUGUCUUGUAGCUUACUCGCUUAUGUUAUUUUACCUACGCUUAGGAUGUUGACGCGCGUGUGUGCGUG
rnacentral:rRNA from 1 species